GUUAGCGUCGUGCAAAGCAGCCAAGUUGUGGUGCUGAGUGAAAGGCGUUAAAGUGAUAAGACAAAUCACAAAUAUACUUACGUACAAUUGUAAACAUGUAUGUGAGCGCGCGUACAGUGAGUUCAUUGUGUGGUGAGAUGUGCAAACUCAAAGACAACAAUAACAACAACAAAAAUAACAACAACAGUAACAGUGACGUUUAGUUUUAUUACAAGUAAAACAGUUAAAUGUGGAAAAAUAGAGAUUUAUAUGAAAACUAUUGUAGAUAAGGAAUUUAAGAGACACGCUGCAGCAAAGAUGGAGAGCAGAAAGCAGUCAUUGUACUCAAUUUAAAUUUGGAAUUCGCUUGAUUCCGUAGUCGAUCACCAGGAGGACCAAAGCAAAAAGUCAUUACCUGACAAAGUCGUGUGGAAUUUCAAGUCGAUCGUUUCGGCCGUUAUGGAGAAAUUUUGACUGCCGAUUACACUAAGUUAAAAAAUCUAACAAAUAAAAAUAGAUAAUUUUUCUCUUU